CCGCCUCAGCCACCGCCGCCGUCUCCACAGGACCGAGCCUCCGAUCGAAAUGACAACCAGCUGGAGAGGGGCAGCGCGACACUUCCGAUCAGUCUAACUUUGACACAGUGGAGUUUGCAGAGGGGCCUUUUCAGCUAGACCACAAGAAGCUAAAUCAAGAACCUUAUAUCCUACAUCAAGCCUAUACAGGAAGGAGAUUCUGUACCAGCGUUAUAUCCAGGCAACCA